rnacentral:rRNA from 1 species
GACGAACGCUGGCGGCGUGCUUAACACAUGCAAGUCGAACGAUGAAGCCGGAGCUUGCUCCGGUGGAUUAGUGGCGAACGGGUGAGUAACACGUGAGCAAUCUGCCCUUGACUCUGGGAUAACUGCGGGAAACUGUAGCUAAUACCGGAUACGACACCUUGGGGCAUCCCAGGGUGUGGAAAGAAUUUCGGUCAAGGAUGAGCUCGCGGCCUAUCAGCUAGUUGGUGAGGUAAUGGCUCACCAAGGCGACGACGGGUAGCCGGCCUGAGAGGGUGACCGGCCACACUGGAACGGAGACACGGUCCAGACUCCUACGGGAGGCAGCAGUGGGGAAUAUUGCACAAUGGGCGCAAGCCUGAUGCAGCAACGCCGCGUGAGGGAUGACGGCCUUCGGGUUGUAAACCUCUUUUAGUAGGGAAGAAGCGAAAGUGACGGUACCUGCAGAAAAAGCACCGGCUAACUACGUGCCAGCAGCCGCCGUAA